AUCGCCAAGAGCUGUAAAACGCUGUAAAAUCGAUCGGAAGAUUAAAACUGUUCAAUUUAUUUAGUGUAUUCUUCGUCCUAUAAGCAAUGUUGAAUUUUACAAAUGGAAUAGUACUACUUCUGAGUGUCGUAAAACAUCGAAGCGAAUUUGACACAAAAGUUAAGUUCGCUGAGCUCAAUAAUGCAAUAGAUCAAAUUAAUUAUGCCAUGGGAGAUUAUUCCGGUAACGCCCAACCAAAUGUUUAUACGGCCAGGAGUUUAAACGAAGAAGCUCGGUUAACUUACCAGCAAUCCGUUGCCCCGGUUUUCGACUGGUGUGGGGAGGCCAUUGACAAAUUUAACACUAUCCUUCCCCAUAUAAGAAAAGAAAAUCUGUCAAAAGAAGACAAGGACUACAUAUGGAAUGUCACUGUAACUGCUGUUCAUGAUGGUCUAGAAAAAACUUCUUCUUCACUCGAAUUAUUAAACGACGUUCAAAGUAAAUCAUCUAAAGUGAUAAACCUCCUUACAACAAUUUUGCAUGAGACCUACGAUGACUUUGCUCCAAGCGGCUAUUAUGGAAAAAUUAAAAGUGAUGCUCAAAAACAAAUCAAUGAUUUAGAAUACUACUUAAAUGUCGAUAGUUAUUUGCAAUGGGUUCCUUUUGCUAAUGUUGUAAGUGCUAUUGUUGUGACAGCUAAAGAAUACCGUCGACAAAUUAUGGAGUUAGAUAUUAAAAAGUCAAAUAUUGAUGAAAAAUUGGAUAGAAUCGUACCUAAAAUUCAACAUGCCAGCCAGGUAGCAAAAAAUUGUGUAAAUCCGUAUCUGGAAGAGGACAAAACAAACUUGUUCGCACUUAGAGGCAAAGCUGGCGCGGUAGACAACAACAACCCACUCUUAAAAGUCGACAGCCCAACUCUCCGGGCUUUGUUUAUGCCAUCCCUUCAGGAAUUGAUUACUCAAUGCCAUAAGUAUACAGUGUGGCAUGGGCUUCAAAUAUAAGAGAUUAACCAACAAAGAUUAAGGUUUAAGACAUUAAUGUACCGGAACUUUUUGGUCAAUGCCAGUGAUCCAUAUAAUAUUGUAUAAUGUUUUCAUUAAAACCAAUCAAAAAUAUUUUGUAAUAACAACUUAACAAUGAAUAUAUUUUUCUAAGAGUUA